CUUUCACGUAUAAUAAACAUCCGUAUAAUCUUGACAAUAUGGGUCAAGAGUUUCUACCAAGGUACCUUAAAUCUUUGACUAUGGAUGAACCUAAUUUAAUA
rnacentral:ncRNA from 2 species